rnacentral:snRNA from 1 species
GUGCUCGCCUGGUCAGCACACGUACUGCAACUGGCUGGCACAGAGGAGAUCAGCGUGGGCCCUGUACCAGAUGAUAGGCAAAGUCAGGAAGCAUUCCAUGUUUUA